rnacentral:rRNA from 1 species
GACGAACGCUGGCGGCGUGCUUAACACAUGCAAGUCGAACGGUGAGGCCCUUCUUGCAGUGUACUCGAUUGGUGAACGGGUGAGUAACACGUGGCUGAUCUGCCCUGCACUUCGUUCUCAUCCUGGGCAACUUGGUCUAAUACCUGAUAGGAGCUAUUUUUAGUGUGUUGGUUGGUAAGUUUUUUCGGGGUAGGAUGGGCUCGCGGCCUGUCAUCUUGUUGGUUGGGUAAUGGCCUACCGAGGUGGCGACGGGUAGCCGGCCUGAGAGGGUGGACUGACACAUUGGGACUGAGAUACGGACCAGACACCUACGGGAGGCAGCAGUGGGGAAUAUGGCACAAGGGGCGAAAGCGUGAUGCAGAGACGCCGCGUGGGGGAUGAAGGCCUUCGGGUUGUAAACGCCUGUCGGUAGGGACGAAGCGUUUUGUGACGGUACCUAGAUAAGAAGCACCGGCUAACUACGUG